ACUCAAAGGAAUUGACGGGGGCCCGCACAAGCGGUGGAGCAUGUGGUUUAAUUCGACGCAACGCGAAGAACCUUACCUGGGCUCGAAAUGCAUUGGACCGCGGUAGAAAUAUCGCUUCCCCGCAAGGGGCCGAUGUAUAGGUGCUGCAUGGCUGUCGUCAGCUCGUGUCGUGAGAUGUUGGGUUAAGUCCCGCAACGAGCGCAACCCUUACUUCCAGUUGCCAUCAUUCAGUUGGGCACUCUGGCAGAACCGCCUCGGAUAACGGGGAGGAAGGUGGGGAUGACGUCAAGUCCUCAUGGCCUUUAUGUCCAGGGCUACACACGUGCUACAAUGGCCGGUACAAACCGUCGCAAACCCGUGAGGGGGAGCUAAUCGGAAAAAGCCGUCCUCAGUUCGGAUCGUAGUCUGCAACUCGACUACGUGAAGCUGGAAUCGCUAGUAAUCGCGGAUCAGAAUGCCGCGGUGAAUACGUUCCCGGGCCUUGCACACACCGCCCGU
rnacentral:rRNA from 1 species